GUAAACGAUGAUUACUCGCUGUUUGCGAUAUACAGUAAGCGGCUUAGCGAAAGCGUUAAGUAAUCCACCUGGGGAGUACGCCGGCAACGGUGAAACUCAAAGGAAUUGACGGGGGCCCGCACAAGCGGAGGAACAUGUGGUUUAAUUCGAUGAUACGCGAGGAACCUUACCCGGGCUUGAAAUGUAUCUGAAUAAUUUGGAAACAGAUUAGCCAGCAAUGGCAGAUAUGUAGGUGCUGCAUGGUUGUCGUCAGCUCGUGCCGUGAGGUGUCGGCUUAAGUGCCAUAACGAGCGCAACCCUCAUCGAUAGUUACCAUCAGGUAGUGCUGGGGACUCUAUCGAGACUGCCGCCGUAAGGUGUGAGGAAGGUGGGGAUGACGCCAAAUCAGCACGGCCCUUACGUCCGGGGCGACACACGUGUUACAAUGGGUGGCACAACGGGCAGCUACCUGGUGACAGGAAGCUAAUCUCGAAAACCACUCUCAGUUCGGAU
rnacentral:rRNA from 1 species